rnacentral:rRNA from 1 species
AUUGAACGCUGGCGGCAGGCCUAACACAUGCAAGUCGAGCGAGCGGCGGACGGGUGAGUAAUGUAUGGGGACUGGCCGAUAGAGGGGGAUAACUACUGGAAACUGUAGCUAAUACCGCAUACCAUCGGAUAACCCAUAUGGGAUUAGCUAGUAGGUGAGGUAAAGGCUCACCAAGUCGACGAUCUCUAGCUGGUCUGAGAGGAUGAUCAGCCACACUGGGACUGAGACACGGCCCAGACUCCUACGGAGGCAGCAGUGGGGAAUAUUGCGCAAUGGGCGCAAGCCUGACGGAGCAAUGCCGCGUGAGUGAUGAAGGUCUUCGGAUUGUAAAGCUCUGUUAGUAGUGAAGCGUUAGCUAAUCAUGAAGCGCCGGCUAACUACGUGCCAGCAGCCGCGGUAAUUC